rnacentral:rRNA from 1 species
AGGCGGAUUGUAAACUAAAGCUCUUGAGUAGUUUGGCUGGCUCGGUAAUCAAGUUCUCUGGAAAGGGACGACAAAGAGGGUGAAAUCCCCGUUUUUGGCCGAAGCUUAGUCUUGCGUUUGCUCGGGAGUGAAGAGUCAGGUUGUUUGGUAUUGCAGCCUAAAGUUGGAGGUAAAUCUCUCCUAAAGCUAAAUAUUGACGAAAGACCGAUAGCGAACAAGUACCGUGAGGGAAAGAUGAAAAGCACCUUGAAAAGGGGGUCAAAAAGUACGUGAAAUUGCUGAAAGGGAACCGUAUGAAAUCAGCUUGGCCGUUUGGUAAUCAACCUAGACUUUGGUUUGGGUGCACUUGCCAUGUGGUACAGCCUGCGACAAUUUGAUUUGGAGGAAAAAAUGAGAGAGAAUGUGGCCUUGUCUUCGGGGGAGGUGUUAUAGCUCUUUUAAAAAUACUCUGGAUUGGAUUGAGGAUCGCAGCGAGCCUUUAGGGAUGAACUGUGGGUGCUUGGUGGUUGCUAGGGAGAAAUUUCUAUUUAGGUAGUGUCUUUCUCGUAGCUGUCAACUCGCCUACUUUUUCUUUUUCUCGC